rnacentral:lncRNA from 1 species
UAUUAAUUUUUUAUACGACCGCAAAAAUUUUAAUUUUUUGGUCGUAUAUUGCUAUCACGUUGGCGUCGUCGUCGUCGUUGUCGUCGUCCGAAUACUUUUAGUUUUCGCACUCUAACUUUAGUAAAAGUGAAUAGAAAUCAAUGAAAUUUUAACACAAGGUUUAUGACCACAAAAGAAAGGUUGGGAUUGAUUUUGGGAGUUUUGGUCCCAACAUUUUAGGAAUUAGGGGCCAAAAAGGGCCCAAAUAAGCAUUUUCUUGGUUUUCGCACUAUAACUUUAGUUUAAGUGAAUAGAAAUCUAUGAAAUUUUGACACAAGGUUUAUGACCACAAAAGGAAGGUUGGGAUUGAUUUUGGGAGUUUUGGUUCCAACAGUUUAGGAAAUAAGGGCCAAAAAAGGACCCAAAUAAGCAUUAUUCUUGGUUUUUGCACAAUAACUUUAGUAUAAGUAAAUAGAAAUCAAUGAAAUUUUAACACAAGGUUUAUGACCACAAAAGGAAGGUUGGGAUUGAUUUUUGGAGUUGAGGUCACAACAGUUUAUGAAUUAGGGCCCAAAAAGGGGCCCAAACAAGGCCGUAACUAGGCAUCUUAUUUUAGUGAGGCAAAAUAAUUGAGCCUUUUUUGCAGGGUAUGAAGUGAAUGGUGCAAAAUCCUGCAAUCUAGGCAUUUUUAGAGAGUUUGAUAAUGUUUUGAAUUUGGACACUUUUUAUAUAAAUUUUUCAUAUUUUAAGACUUUUACUAACACCAAAUUUUUAACAACUUUAAUAAUCCAAAUGUCACUGAU